GGCAUGUGCCAUAACUCUGGCUAAAUCACAAUCACCCUAAGUGCAGUUUUAUGAGCUCAACAUUAUUCAGUCACAUAUUACAUCAUCGAUGAUUCACAUAACCAAACAUAACUUAGGCGAAUUUUACCAUUUAAUUUAGGGUUAUGUUUCCUAUUUUAUUUUAUUAUUAUUUUUAGUUUCCUAGUGGGAAUAAAGGACCUGUUUUUAGGGUUUUUGUGGGGGGGAGGGGGCUUAGCAGAUAUAUUGCUUGGUCGUCUACAGUUUUUCACGACGCUUUAUUUUAUGCAAUUUUGGAGACAGAGAGAAUUGCUAGGGGUUUGGAGAUUUUCUACUUGAAAGUGUUUUCAAUCAUUUUCUUAAUAAUAUUUUCUAUGAUUUCAAUUAUGAAUAUGCGUAACUAAUUUCUUUUGUUAGGGCGAAGCCUUGAGCCUUAUCAUGAAUAUGUGAUUUUUAUUUAAUUGCUUAUGAUUGAUUGCAUGCAUACUUUGAAUUGUUAAUCACCGAGAUAAAAAAUUAUCUAAUUGUCUUAAUGCCUGAUCACCAUUAGGAUCUUUAGAAAAGUAAUUUGAUCCAAUUUUGGUCGGAAGGUUCCUGAAAUUGACGCUGGCUUCAUGUGAUUAAUAAUUGUAAUUUCACUUAGGAUGAACACUACGUCUUAAGGGUUGCAUGGUUUUUUCAAAGGGUUUUCAUAAAACAUAAUUAGUCUUUCAUAUUCAGAUUUGAUCUGAACGUCCGGACGGGUUGCAUGUUAAAUAUACGUUCUACGUUGGAGGUUCCAAGUAGAAUAUGAAUUAGGAAAAUCUAACCUUCAAAGUGGCAUGUGUAGAUCAUGAGUAAUUGGUAAAAGUUCAUAGGAUUGCUAGGUGAUGGUGGAACCCUAGUGCUUUCUUAAUUUGAUUUCUCCCAAAACUGUUUUCUUUUCCCUCUAGUUUUAAUAUUGCAGAUUGUUUAUUUUAAUUAAUUAAUUUCGUUUUUAUUUUAAGCAGGUUAUAAAAUCAAUAACCUCAAUUUAUACUUUACAAUAAUUAAUUGGAAUUUGGUUUGCUUUGAAUUAUUUAAUAAUCCCUGUGGAGAAUGACCUUGUGAGAUCCGUUUAUACUACAACAACAUUGUGAUUCUUGCAAGUAUAAUAGGAGUUUUUACCCCGUUCACAUGAGUAGUAAAAUCCCUAUCACUUGUCAUCGGGAUAAGUCUCACCUAUAUGCGAAUUAACUAUAAAAACGUUAUUUUAGAGCACAUACACAAAACUAGCUAAUAACUUCUCAUACAUAGCUCAAAUUGGGUAUAUGAAUAUA
rnacentral:lncRNA from 1 species